GCGCCUGUAGCUCAGCUGGAUAGAGCACCGGCCUUCGAAGCCGGGCGUCGGGGGUUCGAAUCCCUCCGGGCGCG
rfam:Delta proteobacterium MLMS-1 ctg917, whole genome shotgun sequence.